UACGUAGGGCGCAAGCGUUGUCCGGAAUUAUUGGGCGUAAAGAGCUCGUAGGUGGCUGGUCGCGUCUGCCGUGAAAGCCCGUGGCUUAACUACGGGUCUGCGGUGGAUACGGGCCGGCUUGAGGUAGGUAGGGGCAAGCGGAAUUCCUGGUGUAGCGGUGGAAUGCGUAGAGAUCCGGAGGAAGACCGGUGGCGAAGGCGGCCUGCUGGGCAGUUACUGACACUGAGGCGCGACAGCGUGGGGAGCAAACAGG
rnacentral:rRNA from 1 species